rnacentral:rRNA from 1 species
CCUACGGGAGGCAGCAGUGGGGAAUAUUGCGCAAUGGGCGAAAGCCUGACGCAGCGACGCCGCGUGAGGGAUGAAGGUCUUCGGAUCGUAAACCUCUGUCAGCAGGGAAGAACGGUCACUGUGCUAAUCAGCAGUGAAUUGACGGUACCUGCAAAGGAAGCACCGGCUAACUACGUGCCAGCAGCCGCGGUAAUCCGGAGGGUGCGAGCGUUAACCGGAAUUACUGGGCGUAAAGCGCUCGUAGGCGGUAUGUCAAGUCAAGGGUGAAAGCCCCGCGCUCAACGUGGGAACUGCCUUGGAAACUGGCAAACUGGAGUGUGUGAGAGGAUAGUGGAAUGCCAGGUGUAGGAGUGAAAUCCGUAGAUAUAUGGAGGAACAUCAGUGGCGAAGGCGACUAUCUGGCACAUAACUGACGCUGAGGAGCGAAAGCGUGGGUAGCAAACAGGAUUAGAUACCCCAGUAGUC